UUGCCUUUUGGUGUUUCUUUUUGGCUGGCCGGGUUAGAGCAUCAUCAACGCGGGUGCUUAGCCUGGGUUUUUAGUGUUUUUAGAUUUAAAAAAAAGGAAAAUUGUGUAAUUAAAGAAGCCACGCUGCUUAAUUAAGAGUCAGAAGACCCGUUGCUUAUGAACACGUGUCAGACAUUCACCAUUCUUCCUCUCUCUAGACGAAAUCGUCCGCCUCUCCCUUUUCCCGAUCACACGGUGGGUGAUGGAAAAAGAACACAGAGCCUCCUCCCUCCAUUCAAGAUGCCUCCGUUCACCGCCGUGGCUGUUGAUGCGACAGACAGUUUCCAGUUUCUUCGUCGGAGGAUCUCAGCAAGAAGAUUAAGAAGCCUUAUACCAUCACCAAGUCGAGGGAGAGCUGGACGGAGCCUGAGCACGACAAGUUCCUCGAAGCUCUUCAGCUGUUUGACAGAGACUGGAAGAAGAUUAAAGCUUUUAUUGGAUCAAAAAUUGUGAUUCAGGUACAGUAAAUUGGAAGAAGAUUGAAGCUUUUAAAACGACUUUACUCCCGUAGCUUUGUUUUAUUUUCAACUUUAUGUUGUGUAAUGUGUAGUGUUGACGCUUUGGCUUCACCAGGAAUCAAAGAGAAAACUUGUUUUUUAUAUGAAACCGCAAGCUUUCUCUUUGAUUCUUGUUCUCACUUCGCACUUGGUGAGCUUCUCUCAGUCUUACUCUGUUUUUACUUAUCUUACUUCACUCUCUGUUUUUGUCUUCACUCACUCUUCUUGUUUCUUACUUGUGUUACAACUUACAACCAAACACAAGCACAUACUCUCUUUUAUCUCUCUUGUUUGUUUGUUGCUGUACAGAAGAGAGAACACUUAUUUGUCUACAUUGUUAACC